AGGUAAAAGUAGGAGAUAGAACAGAAAAAGUCCGCUUCUUCCAUUGCUUUAAACGAGGAGUUGAUCGCGUCUUUGUAGAUCACCCUAUAUUUCUUGAAAAGGUGUGGGGGAAAACUGGAACAAAACUUUAUGGUCCUGUUGCAGGAGACGAUUACCAAGACAAUCAACUACGUUUUAGCAUCUUCUGUCAGGCAGCUCUGGAAGCAGCGAGAGUUCUGAAUCUUAAGAGCAAUAAAUAUUUCUCAGGACCAUAUGGUGAAGAUGUCAUUUUCGUCGCUAAUGAUUGGAACACGGCCCUUAUCUCAUGCUACA